CUCACCCGCACCAGUCGAGGAGGUGGCAUGACGUGUGUGUGAGGUAGUGGUGGAUCAUUGGGGGUGAAGCAGGUCUCCUCGAUGGGUGCUACAUCUGAGGUUCCACUGUGAGAGGAGUUCUCCGACAGCCAUGAGCACCCAGGUCCAGUUCCUCUGGUCUUGUGUUUGCGACCAGCGGAGCGGGAAUUGCCAUUCUUGCUGACUCAAAUGCUGGGUCUGGUUGCGGUCAGGCGGUUGGCGGCGACGGUGGUGGGGAUGUCCCCAAGCUUACCAGCCCGCCUCCUUCAUGCCGGGUUGCGUGCAGCCUCGGAUCUCUGAUGCGGAUCUAAAUUUGCAUAGGUUGCCUGCCCAAUAUGUAGAAUUGAUUGAAGAUGAAUCCUGAAGUUGACAAAAAAGGCUCGGGGUAGGGUGUGCACCACCAGACCGGAAGCCGUGUGCUGGUUGGGUUAGUGCAUUGGAGGAAACCUAGCAAUACGCUAAUAACCCUACUGAAAUAUGGUGAAGCCAGCUCACAAAGGAGCGAGAGUGCAAGAGCAUGCUGAAGACAUACAUGCGACAAGCAGUCCAAUGCACACUUUCUCGAGGCAGUACACGAGACUUCAAUUUGACCGUUAGUCGGACAACAACUAUGAGAAGGAAAUGACAAGGAUUCUAAGUGUUUUUUGGUUUUAAUUUGUUUGGUCAUAAAACUGAAAAUGGUAGACUAAUUACUAAUGUGAAUGUGUGUCUUAUUAACAGAGUGGAGCGGUGCCAUAGAGCGG